rnacentral:rRNA from 1 species
ACGAGUGGCGGACGGGUGAGUAAUGUCUGGGAAACUGCCCGAUGGAGGGGGAUAACUACUGGAAACGGUAGCUAAUACCGCAUAACGUCGCAAGACCAAGAGGGGGACCUUCGGGCCUCUUGCCAUCGGAUGUGCCCAGAUGGGAUUAGCUAGUAGGUGGGGUAACGGCUUACCUAGGCGACGACCCCUAGCUGGUCUGAGAGGAUGAUCAGCCACACUGGGACUGAGACACGGUCCAA